ACUGACAACCAGCUGAGUUGAUCUCAGGUAUUGUGCUGCCCAUUCAAUACUCACCAAAGGCUGAGUCACAUCUGUACAUGUUUAUAAACCAUCUGGGCUUAUCAGGCUUCAGUGGAUUGGUCAGUGGUACAGGAAGUGAGUGGUAGAAGUUGCAGUUUGAAAACAUUAGAGCGGUUAAGCAAAUUACUGACUCUGAACUAAAUUGUCAGUAUAAUACUUAAGCAAAAUGAGGACUAAACUGUAGUGAAAAAAUGUCUUUCAGGGAGUACUGUGUCAAAAACAAUUUCUAUUUAAUACACAUAAUGUGGAAAUGAACAAUAAGUUUGUUGCAAAAGAGGUUCAAAUUGGCUCAGGUUUAACUGUGAUUUGGUCUCACCAAAUUCCUGUGUUUUUGGAAUACUGCAGAACAGCAUAAAAGAUUAUGUCAUAGGAUCAGGGAGAAAGGUUGCUGGUGGCAUAACAAAUUUUCCCUUCUCGGACCUCAAAAGCCACAUCACAAAUUGAAGAAUUUGUUUGCAAGAAAGCACAGUGUUGAAAAAAACAUGUUGUGAAAAAAUAAACUUUUUUAUAUUUGCUCUGUGUGCGCGCCCGGAUGAUGAGCACAAAGCGGUCCUUGACAAAGGAAAGCUGGAUUUGUUGAUAGAUUAUGACAUAGGAUGGGGGAGAAUCGUGGACCUGAACAAUACUGUGAUAGAGAGGAAUUCCUACUCAAGAAAGCAGUAUAAAAAACACAGUCAAUGUGAAAGAGUG